UGUGUACUCCCUCCGUUCCAAAAUACUUGACUUCCAUUUGUCCAAAAAUUUAUGUACCUAUAUACUAAAACAUGUCUAGAUACAUAUAUAUUUUGACAAAUAGAAGGCAUGUAUUGUGCAACGGAGGGAGUAGAAU
rfam:Triticum aestivum genome assembly, contig: Triticum_aestivum_CS42_TGACv1_scaffold_274075_3DS